CUACGGGGGGCUCCAGUGGGGAAUAUUGCACAAUGGGCGCAAGCCUGAUGCAGCAACGCCGUGUGAGUGAUGACGGCCUUCGGGUUGUAAAACUCUGUCCUAAGGGAAGAAACAAAUGACGGUACCUUAGGAGGAAGCCCCGGCUAACUACGUGCCAGCAGCCGCGGUAAUACGUAGGGGGCAAGCGUUAUCCGGAAUCACUGGGCGUAAAGGGUGCGUAGGCGGCUUAGCAAGCCAGGGGUGAAAGGCAUUGGCUCAACCAAUGUAAGCCUUUGGAACUGCUAGGCUUGAGUGCAGGAGAGGUAAGUGGAAUUCCUAGUGUAGAGGUGAAAUUCGUAGAUAUUAGGAGGAACACCAGUGGCGAAGGCGACUUACUGGACUGUAACUGACGCUGAGGCACGAAAGCGUGGGGAGCGAACAGGAUUAGAUACCCCGGUAGUC
rnacentral:rRNA from 1 species